GACGAACGCUGGCGGCGUGCUUAACACAUGCAAGUCGAACGGAAAGGCCCUGCUUUUGUGGGGUGCUCGAGUGGCGAACGGGUGAGUAACACGUGAGUAACCUGCCCUUGACUUUGGGAUAACUUCAGGAAACUGGGGCUAAUACCGGAUAGGAGCUCCUGCUGCAUGGUGGGGGUUGGAAAGUUUCGGCGGUUGGGGAUGGACUCGCGGCUUAUCAGCUUGUUGGUGGGGUAGUGGCUUACCAAGGCUUUGACGGGUAGCCGGCCUGAGAGGGUGACCGGCACAGUGGGGAAUGAGAUACGGCCCGGAAUCGUCGGGGAGGCAGAAGGGGGAAGUAGGGCAAAAGGGGGGGAAGCCGGAUGCAGCAACGCCGGGGGGGGGAUGAAGGCCUUCGGGUUGUAAACCGCUCCCGCCGGGGGAGAGGGGGGGGUGAGGGUAGUGGGUAAAGAAGCACCGGCUAACUACGUG
rnacentral:rRNA from 1 species